CCCUUAGAUGUCCUGGGCCGCACGCGCGCUACACUGACAUGUUCAACAAGCCUCCUAGUUCGACAGGAUUUGGGAAAUCUUUGAACGCAUGUCGUGAUAGGGAUAGAUCAUUGCAAUUAUUGAUCUUGAACGAGGAAUUCCUAGUAAACGCGAGUCAUCAGCUCGCAUUGAUUACGUCCCUGCCCUUUGUACACACCGCCCGUUGCACCUACCGAUUGAAUGUUUCGGUGAAGAUUCCGGAUAGGACUUUUUUGAUUUAUUUCAAUUUUGUCUUAAAAGCUAUCUAAACCUCAACAUUUAGAGGAAGGUGAAGUCGUAACA
rnacentral:rRNA from 1 species